CUGGUGAUGUCAACCCUCUGUCAUCUGAGCUGCAUCUCAUGUGAGGGACAGAGCCUUCCCAAACCCAGAAGCUGGUGGCAUCAAGCUCAUGGGAUGCUUAAGUCUAUACCACGCAAUCCACAAAGAUGGACUAAUUCCAGAGGAAGUCAAGCAAAGACUGUGUCACAACUAUUAACCCAAUUUUAAAGAUGCUCCAAACUGCUGCCAGCGUGUACUUUAUAUAAUGGUGCCUUAACUCCAGCUGCAGACAUUUCUUACUGCGGCAGUCCUUUCAAGAAACAACCUCCCCAGAAAUAUGGGAAAACUUUCCCAUGGAAAAACAACAACAAUAAUAAUAACCAACAAAAAACCACCAACAACAAAGCAAGCAGCCAACAGCUGAAACCCUCCUCUAAGUAACAUUCCGGCCAUAAAUAAAGUCAUGAUUCUUAAAAGAACAGGAAACAAACAGGUGUUGAUAGGGUUUUUGCCAUAAUUCAGAAACGCCCACAUCUUGGUUCACUGUGGAUGGGCCAGGAACACCUCAGCAAUCUCCCAGAGUUUCCUUUUUGGGCUUUGGCUGCAGAACUGAGUAAAACAUGAGCAAUUGCACCAGUGAACUCCAGAGCUAAGAGUAUGACCUGUUGUAAUCUGUGCCAAGAGCUCCUGGCUGGGUAGAGACAGACUUUCAUUCAUGAAGUGAGCACAGAAGGAAUCUCAAGACAGACUCAUGAGGAGACAGUGAGGGCCUAGGGAAAAAAUAUAAUAAUCUCAUUUCGGCCCUCUCAGAGAUCUGGACAUGUGAAGGGACACCUCCAUGAGGGCUGUGAGCAGUCAGAGAUGCUGCCAGCAUUGCAUUCUUGAGCUUUCAGCCCAAUAAACUGUUUCAUAAGCUGGCAGAAAAAUAAAGCUCAGAGGGACUGGAAGAGGUCACCCCUGUCAUCUUUGCUGCCCCCUGACAGGAACAGUGCAGCAAAUACCAGAUCUGAGAGGACAGCUUUGAAACUUCUUGGGCAGACAGAAGCAGAAGCAAGCAAAUAAACAACAACUAAAGAGGAAAACAAGGAAGUUGGCUUUUUUUUUUUUUUUUUUU